GACGAACGCUGGCGGCGUGCUUAACACAUGCAAGUCGAACGGAAAGGCCCUGCUUGCAGGGUACUCGAGUGGCGAACGGGUGAGUAACACGUGGGUGAUCUGCCCUGCACUUCGGGAUAAGCCUGGGAAACUGGGUCUAAUACCGGAUAGGAGCCAUUUUUAGUGUGAUGGUUGGAAAGUUUUUUCGGUGUAGGAUGAGCUCGCGGCCUAUCAGCUUGUUGGUGGGGUAAUGGCCUACCAAGGCGGCGACGGGUAGCCGGCCUGAGAGGGUGGACGGCCAAAUUGGGACUGAGAUACGGCCCAAACUCCUACGGGAGGCAGCGGUGGGGAAUAUUGCACAAUGGGGGCAAGCCUGAUGCAGCGACGCCGCGGGGGGGAUGACGGCCUUCGGGUUGUAAACUCCUUUCGCUAGGGACGAAGCUUUUUGUGCCGGUACCUAGAAAAGAAGCCCCGGCUAACUCCGU
rnacentral:rRNA from 1 species